GCAGGUGUGAGAAUUCUUAACUUGGGGAAAGUAACUUAAAGGAUGUACCGGUAUGUGUUGCGGUUCAAUGACAAGACAGCACAAAGCUUUAAGCAAGCAAGCAGGCUGGUCUGCCAACGGACUGGUCCUGUCAGCUCUCCACCCUCUCCUUUAUUCUUUCUCUCCCCCCGCGCAUUACAUUCUCCAACAGAUAAAAGGAAUACACUGGCUUUGUUUAACAUUCUUAUUUACCAAUUUCUAUCUACCGCAUUCUUUGCUCUC